CCUACGGGUGGCAGCAGUGAGGAAUAUUGGUCAAUGGGCGGAAGCCUGAACCAGCCAAGUCGCGUGAGGGAUUAAGGCCCUGCGGGUCGUAAACCUCUUUAGGCGGGGAGCAAUGCCGGGCACGCGUGCCCGGCGGGAGAGUACCCGCAGACUAAGCAUCGGCUAACUCCGUGCCAGCAGCCGCGGUAAUACGGAGGAUGCGAGCGUUAUCCGGAUUUAUUGGGUUUAAAGGGUGCGUAGGCGGAUUUUUAAGUCAGCGGUAAAAUGUCCGGGCUCAACCCGGGCCGGCCGUUGAAACUGGGGAUCUUGAGUGGGCGAGAAGUAUGCGGAAUGCGUGGUGUAGCGGUGAAAUGCAUAGAUAUCACGCAGAACUCCGAUUGCGAAGGCAGCAUACCGGCGCCCGACUGACGCUGAGGCACGAAAGCGUGGGGAUCGAACAGGAUUAGAUACCCGAGUAGUC
rnacentral:rRNA from 1 species